AGGUCCACCACUAUAUAAACUGUAUGAUCUUGGGCAAAUCCAACGUCGUCUCUGAGCCUCAGUUUCUACAUCUGAAAAAUAGGGAAAAACAAUAGACGCCUCCCAGGGUCACUGAAAGAAUUAACAAGAUAACAUAUGCUAAGAGUUUCAAGGGCCACGGGAAGGAGAGGGAUCGGGGCCAUUACAUUUCAUCUUUAAAUUGACUUACCAUGGGUCUCGUCUACACUGGAAGGUGCAUGAGGUCAUCACAAAGCUACUGGGAAAUCGGGGAGCCAGUUUCAGGUCCAACAUCAGCUCCCUAAAUGGGUCUUCCCUGGUCACUGUGUUAGAAGCAGCCUCUCUUCCCCUCUCCUCGCCUCCGCCCGUCACCCUCGCCUCCAUCACGGAGUUGAUUUCUAUCAUAGUGCCCAUCACCACCCAGUGGAUGUCUGGGAGCCUGGGAGUCCAGGGGAGAGCAGAGAGCCUGGAAACGGAGGAAAUCCAGCGUGGAGAAGAGCAAUUUUGCUGUGAUGCUCUAUGUGCCCCACUAAAUACCCUCUCCACACCUGCCCUGCCAAGCCAGCGUGUACAGCAUCACGCUGUCGGAUUGUCCUCAAGAUGUUAUUGCCAGCCAGCAAGAUGGUGUUCAUUUGUAGGUUUCCUUGUUGUCUAUUCCACCCCACACAGUACCCAAAAUAUAAUCCGCACGAGAGGAAGGACUUAACUGUGAUUCUCUGCUGUGCCUCCAGCACCCAGAAAGGUGUCUGGCACAUAGUAGGUGUUCAAUAAAUCUUUAUCAACUGACUAUGAGAAUAAAUGGAACAGCUGACAGUGGGCAUCCUGGUUUUGAUGAAAGCAAAUCUCAGACCACAUCCAUUUUACACAAAUUGUUACUUAUCAACAGGCAGCAGAAAAUAGCCUCACAGGCCGACCUGGAAGCUUAAUGGACUGCUGGAUCCUUGUCCUCUCUGAGGCUCAGAAAACACUUUGCACAAAAGGUUCACAGUGGGGCAAAGGCAGCAAUAUUCCAGCAGCAGGAUUUGUCUGACAUCCACAGGGGUCAGAACCAAAGUCACUCAGGGAUCUGACCUACGAUAGCCAAGGGUACCACUCCCUAGAUCAGCUCUGUCCAAUAGCACUUACAACAAAUGAAUCGGUUCUGUCCAGGACAUCAGCCCCCAGGCACAUGGCUAUUGAGCACUUGAAAUUCAAGCUGAUGUGACUGAAUUGAACUGAAUUUUCGAUUUUAUUUAAACUUGGGUUAGUUUACAAUGAAGUUGAAAUUGUAGCUAUUGUAUCAGACAGCACAGCCCUAGAUCAUUAAACCCUGUUCGUGCAAGUGCAGGGAGCUGCUGUAAAAUAUUUUCUGCCACCUCCUUCCCUUGAGUAGCACUGAAGUCACUGAAGAGAACACAUUCUAACAUCCACUUUGUUAAUCAUCAGCCACGACUUUCACCACUGCCAUUUAUGUCUAACGUUCAUUGUAUCAAUUAGUGAAGUCUCUGGUAUUGACCAAACAUCAAAGUCAUUGCCUCUGGAGUGUGGUCUCUCUGAUGCCUUGCUAGGGGAUCACCCACAGAGAGUGAAUUAUUGAUUAGAACAACUGACCACCAUGAAAACGGUGGUUGAAAUGAACACUGUCAGCCCUCCAUAUCCCACGGGUUCCGCGUCUGCAAGUUCAGCCAAACGCAGGGAGCAAACCUAAUCUACCGUCCAAAGGUGGUUGAACCCGUGGAUGCGGAACUGUGGAUAUGGAGAACUGACUCUGGGACUUAAGCAUCUGGGGAUUUUGGUAUCCACAGCGAGUCCUGGAACCAGUCCCCCAAGGAUACCCAAGGAUGACCGCCCAUCUAUGUGCCCCAUCUCUGCAGAAGAAAAAGAAACACUAAAUGCAUUUUAAUGUAAUUAUCUUUGAUGACAAGUUAUGAAGGACCUGAGAGGGGGGAUAAUGGGAGAAGGCUGUGGUUAAGCCCAGCUUCCCAAGCAGGUGAUUUUUGAAGUUCAGGACUGAGAAGGAGAAAGCCAGAGGAGGACAAUGGGAGAAAGCCUUGCAGAGGCAACUGUAAGCCCUCAGGACCGGGGGCUGUCCUCGGUCAGUUUGAGGAACAGAACAAAGACCAGUGUGGAAAACUAGUGAGCAGCCAGAACUUAACAAUAACAAGGAUUCCGGAUUUUGUUUUCUCAUCCUUCACUUGAGACACUAACAGAUACUGGGUUAAGCAAAGCUCAGAAGAAGCCGGAGACUUCCAGUUGAAAUGAAAUCCUCUGUAUAGACUUUCUGCUAUGGGAUCCAAUUCAGUAUCGAUAUUCUCAUUUAAAAAAUACUAAUUUCCAUUAGAUUGAGGCCAGAAUGCCCCGGGAAGCCUAGUGUGGUUUGCCAAUUGAUUCACAGAAUGAAAUCUUAUCUAAAAUCUUUUUAUUUUAUGCUAUUAAGGACACAGGAGGGAGCCACGAGUAAAAAAUUUCCCCGCCAGGUUAAUGCAUGGGGUCAACUGAAAGUGGCCCCAGGGCUGUCUUAAAAAGAUUGUCAUUUGUGAUUUCUCACUAUUUUGUUUCCCGCUACCAGUAAUUGAAAAAAAUUUUUCUUCCCUUUGGGGGAGGUUAAUGC
ensembl:lncRNA